rnacentral:rRNA from 1 species
UACCCAAUCCUGACACAGGGAGGUAGUGACAAGGAAUAACAAUACGGGGCUUAAUGUCUUGUAAUUGGAAUGAUGGGAAUUUAAACCUCUUCCAGAGUAUCAAUUGGAGGGCAAGUCUGGUGCCAGCAGCCGCGGUAAUUCCAGCUCCAAUAGCGUAUAUUAAAAUUGUUGCAGUUAAAAAGCUCGUAGUUGAAUUUCUGCUACAUUGCCUAUUCUCCUUUACGAGUUUGGGUCUUUUGUGGCUUAUCUGGGUUCGCUUGCGUUCCCGGUGUUUUACUUUGAGAAAAUUAGAGUGCUCAAAGCAGGCUUUUGCCUUGAAUAGUUUAGCAUGGAAUAAUGAAGUAGGACUUUGGUUCUAUUUUGUUGGUUUUAGGUACCAAAGUAAUGGUUAAUAGGAACAGUUGGGGGCAUUCGUAUUUAA